rnacentral:misc_RNA from 1 species
CGCCUGAUAUAUGGUCUCAUUCAGCUCAUCCUUGAGAAGGUGAAUAAAUAGCUCAGUUAGAAGACAACUCUUCACAUCAUUGUAGGCCCCUUUCAAAUUUAUGAGGAAAUAUGUAUUUGCACGGGGGAAUUUAAAAGUGUUGUCAAGCUUGUACCAGAACUUCAUCAAAGGUUCAUCAAUUAUACAUCUUGGAGAAGAUGAAUUUGUGCCAUUUAAGCCAUCAGCACGAAU